rnacentral:lncRNA from 1 species
AAACAUUUAAAUUGAAAUAAUAGCAACCUCACUUAUGUCUCUGUUUUCUUAAGGUGGAACCAAAUGAUCAUUUUCAGGCUUUUAACCCAUCAUCUGUUUUUCCAGCCCAAGCCAUCAGCCAAAUCAGGUUUUAACUUCAUUGAGACUUACGGCUUCUUGCCAAUAUUUUUGCCAAAACCCUGUAAUCAGUCUCAUUUAUUUUUAUCUUGCUAUACCAACUUACAGCUCCCAAAACAAACUGUUCUCUUCUUGGUCUUGGAACUGGUCUUCUAAAAACAGCACGGAGUCACCUGAGUCCUCCUAGAUAAGAGCCAAAGCUGAGCUUCGGAUCACCCCUGCUCUGGCGACUUAGUGCUGGCAACACCGGACCCAGAGGCUACAUCUUCUGAUUCCAAUCCCCACUCUUUUCUCAGCACAGGCUUUCUCUAACUAUUCCCAAAUGAAGCUAAGCACUGG